rnacentral:tRNA from 1 species
GCCGACGUGGCGCAAUGGUAGCGCGUCGCUUUCCUACAUUCGGUACAUGAACUGGUAGGCGGAAGUUGCGGGUUCGAUCCCCGUCGUCGGUU